UGGGGAGGACGGCCUCCCUAUCCAUCAGCACGUCAGCCGCGGGGACGACCCUG
rnacentral:ncRNA from 1 species